GAUGAACGCUAGCUACAGGCUUAACACAUGCAAGUCGAGGGGAAACGAUAUUGGAAGCUUGCUUCCGAUAGGCGUCGACCGGCGCACGGGUGAGUAACGCGUAUCCAACCUGCCCACCACUUGGGGAUAACCUUGCGAAAGUAAGACUAAUACCCAAUGACGUCCAUAGAAGACAUCUGAAAUGGAUUAAAGAUUUAUCGGUGAUGGAUGGGGAUGCGUCUGAUUAGCUUGUUGGCAGGGUAACGGCCCACCAAGGCGACGAUCAGUAGGGGUUCUGGGAGGAAGGUCCCCCACAUGGGAACUGAGACACGGUCCAAACUCCUACGGGAGGCAGCAGUGAGGAAUAUUGGUCAAUGGGCUAGAGCCUGAACCAGCCAAGUAGCGUGCAGUAUGACGGCCCUAUGGGUUGUAAACUGCUUUUAUAAGGGAAUAAAGUGAGUCUCGUGAGGCUUUUUGCAUGUGCCUUAAGAAUAAGGACCGGCUAAUUCCGUGCCAGCAGCCGCGGUAA
rnacentral:rRNA from 1 species